rnacentral:tRNA from 1 species
GCACCGGUGGUCUAAUGGUAAGACAUUGGCCUUCCAAGCCAAUUAUCUGGGUUCGAUUCCCAGCCGGUGCACCA